CCUGCCAUGGACCCAGGAGGUGGGAAUAACCCUGUGAAGGCCAGGAUUCACCAGUCCCAAGGGCCCUGUAUCUCAGGGAAAGGCAGCAGGUGGUGGAAACCCAUCAAAUCAGCUCUCAGUCUACUUAUUUGUAACCUAUCUUGUCCCAAAGAAGAUUUAAGGUCAUUGUGAGGCUGCAUGUAAGCGUUCCCAAGCAGGGAGGAAAUACAGGCAAAUUAACUCUGGGGAGGAAUGAAGAUGAGGGGCCUGGAAGCGCCUUGUUCCACUUCGGAAGCUGGUGUGAUCUCAUUGUGCCUGUGCGAUUCCAUAGCUAUAUACCGGUCCUGGCAUGGUGGAGCCGCUUGCCUUGGUGGAGUGGAGUCCUUGACCAUGAUCUGUGCUUCAGAGAAAUACGUAACUACAAAGGCUUGCAUCCCUGCCGGUUUUAAAACGUGGCAUUUCCUGGUGUUUCAGUUUGUGUUUAGUUACCAAAGAAAUAUGCUUUUAUGGCAGGAAAUUUAGGAGAUACAGCAAAAUAUUAAGAAUGAAUAAAAAUAAUUCCCCCCACCCAGUGGUAAGUCCUGGUAAAGCCCGGCAGGUUUUGUUAUUACAUAUACACAAAUACGUAACGUCUCAUAAAAUCUGGCUCACUUCUUGUAUUUUUCAAAAAAUGCAUAGUUUACUUAACAAUAAACCACAAAUUUUUCCCAUAUUUAGUAAGUGUUAUUUGAAGGUAUGGUUUUGAAUCAUGGCAUUGUGUAUGAUAACAUCAUUUACUUAGAUAAUCCCCAAUAGUUGGACAUUUAAAUUGUCAUCCAUUUGGCUACUAUAAACAAAGUAGAAAUGACCAGCUUUGAACCUAAAUCUUUGUUUGGAUGUUUCACUGCUUCCUUGGCAGAAUUAGAAUUAGAAGGAGGGUUUCUGGCUCAAAGGGUAUGGAUAUCUUUUAGGACACUGAUACCUACUCAAAUUUGCAGAUUUUCAACAUUACUCAACAAUAAUUUUCCCGAUGUCGAAGUCAGAAGCAUUUUGUGUCAUCCACCCCAAAACGAGAGCACAUGACAGCAGCUAUUUCAUCGAAAGGACCUCAGUCACUCUGUCUGCCCACAUCACUUGGGUUAUUUCGUUCUAAUCUGACCUUUUGCCAUUAAGUUCUGUGACAGUUUGUGACAGACUAUGACAAUAAAG